GACGAACGCUGGCGGCGUGCCUAAUACAUGCAAGUCGAGCGGACAGAAGGGAGCUUGCUCCCGGAAGUUAGCGGCGGACGGGUGAGUAACACGUGGGCAACCUACCCUGUAGAUCGGGAUAACAUCGAGAAAUCGGUGCUAAUACCGGAUAAUCAUUUGAAGUGCAUGCUUCGAACGUAAAAGAUGGCUCCGGCUAUCACUACGGGAUGGGCCCGCGGCGCAUUAGCUAGUUGGUAAGGUAAUGGCUUACCAAGGCAACGAUGCGUAGCCGACCUGAGAGGGUGAUCGGCCACACUGGGACUGAGACACGGCCCAGACUCCUACGGGAGGCAGCAGUAGGGAAUCUUCCGCAAUGGACGAAAGUCUGACGGAGCAACGCCGCGUGAGUGAUGAAGGUUUUCGGAUCGCAAAGCUCUGUUGUUAGGGAAGAACAAGUGCCGUUUGAAUAAGGCGGCACCUUGACGGUACCUAACCAGAAAGCCACGGCUAACUACGUGCCAGCAGCCGCCGUAAGAC
rnacentral:rRNA from 1 species